AAAAAAUUAAGAGUGACAAAAUGGCAAAGAUUGAUUUAUCUAAUGUGUGUCCUUGCUGCUUUGAUAGGUACAAAUUUCUUUUAAUUUUGAAUAACAAAAAGGGAAAUAUCAAGCAUUUGAUCUACUUGUUCGCCAAAAAAUUAGCCACGGAUUCACAAAAGGCCCUCCAAGGCCCACACAUCGACUCAUAUCAAUCAUCACACACAGUAUAGGGCCCACAGGGCAGUGGACAUGAAGAAGCUACCCAGGCACUCAGGAUUAGCAUCCAGGUGAGGUCUGCAGCCUUAGGGGGCCCUGGCCAGCUUGCUCCCCUUUCCUGCACCAGGCCAGCUGCCCCGGAAAGUUGGACUGGAACCAAGCCACUGAGCCACCGUGAAGCUGCGGCCACUUUCAAACCUCUGGCAGAAGCAGAGGGCUCAUCAAUGUAUGGAGAAAUGAAAGAGCGCCGCAUUUCACAUUGGAGGGAUCUGGGUUUGAGUCCUUGGGCCAGCCUUGCUACAGUGGGGGCAAGAACACCAAUCACACUGGCUUAUUACGGAAUUCAAAUGUGGCAGAGUAUUUAAACUAUGAAGUGUAGAAUAAAUUAAUUGGCUUGCCAAUUCCCCAUAGCUAGUACUAGAGGCUGGCCUCAGAUGGAAGAACCAGGGGCUGUGCCUGUCCUGGGGAAUGAUGGCAACGCCUUCCAUCCUUCUGGCCCAUGUUUACAUCUGGUACUACGCUAAGCAUCACAGAGCAAUUAGCGCACAUCCUCUCCAAGUACCAGAUUUACCUGAUUUCAUAGAUAAGGAAAUGAUAUCCAGAAGACAUAUCCCAAUUCACCCAAGGAAAACAACUAACUUUGCAUCUAACUCUAUGGCAGAGAUAGCUAUCUGUUUCCCUUUGCCCAGCUUUCUCUUCCUUAAGUAUUAGAAUCCCCAAAUUUAGCUGGGCAUGUGGACACUCAGAGUGAAGCCUACAUUUCCUACCCUCCUCUGUAGUUAGAUGUGACUGCAAUUGCAUUCUGGCCAGUAGGAUACAGGCAAAAGCGUUGUUCUCUCCUUUCCUGCUGGCUGGAAUGCAGGCACUAUGGCUUGAACUCAAGCAGCUAUUUUGUGCCAUGAGGUGAAGGCUAUCUAUUGAGGACAGUGGUACUGCAUUAUUGGAGGCUGGGACUCUAAUGAGCAACCAGUUGCCCAGCCAGUUCUCAACCCUCUAACCAAUCGUUUCCCAGGUAGAAAAAUCACCAUCACUGGCCAUCAGAGAAAUGCAAAUCAAAACCAC
rnacentral:lncRNA from 1 species